GGUCAUUACCAGCCAUUGUCCCCACGUAUCCGACGGCUGAUAAUGUUUUUGAUUAUCUUCGUGAAUUGAGGCACCAUGAUCGCAUAAAAGCAAGCAAGCUCUUCACAGUUACAUUUUUUUUUUUUUUUUUUUAAUUCGUCAGAUCGCUUCAAAUAUUGUAAAGUUCGUCUGUGAUGGCCAUGGAGGAAAUGCCAUUAUCGGCGCUGUUCGAGCAAGCUAGGAAACUUCAUCUCAAGGCUUCAGACUCUCGCGCCGAUCAGAAUCGCGAGUUUUACGAAGAUGGGCGACGUUUUAGGAUGUAGUGAAGGAAGGGUGUGAGAUGUUACACAAGUGCGAGGACAUGGUCGGGAAGCUGGGGCUGUUCUCGUCUAACGAGACCAAAGAAGACAUCAGCACCAACAAUCUUAAGUAUCUUUUGGUAGGCUAGAAUUCUUUCAAAGAUUAAUAAAUAGCUUUGGCCGCUUCUACUGCUUGUAGCUGCUGAUGUUUACAAAUGUGGAGUCUGAAACUGGGUUUGUAUGUUAUAAUCUCUUGGGAUUAUACCCUUCAUUAUAGAGAGAAUCAUUCAGGAGGAUCGGAUGAAGGUAAGGUUUUUAUUCUGAGUGUUUAAAGUUUGUUGCAAUUUCCCUUUCAUGCUAGUGCUAGAAUGAAGGUAUAGUCUCUUAUAUGUGUAUAGGAGGAGUUCUGUGAGGCAAUGGAGAUUGUUAUACUGUUGUUUUUAGAUAGCUCGGUUCAAACGUCAGAAGGCUGCAGAGUCGAGGCUCCUUGAAAUCAAAGAGAGGAAGGAACGACUUGGACGUUCUACUAAAGCUGCUACCUUGUCAACUCCGGUUGGUUCUGGUGAAGAAGAAGAAGAAGAAGAUAUUACAGAUGAUGACAGCGAAGAAGAGAGAGAUGCUAUUGAUCUGAUGGAUAAUAGAGUCUCUGCAAUCAAGGAACAACAGUUGAAGAAUGGAGAGGAUGAGUUUUCUCGGGAUGCUCUUGAUGAUCGCAUAAAGAAAGCUGAAACCUGGCACAGAGAUGCUGCUGCGAGGGUACUGUACUCUAGACCGGCACAACCAGUCACUUGUGCUUCAGUAUCACAGGGUCAUGAACACAAGCACCAACCUAUUAUAUUCGGUCCAGCCAGUAUAGUGAAUGGAGGUCUCUCUUCAGAGAUAGAGCGGAUGAUAGCUCAGGUUUUCCAACCAAGUCACAGGUAAUACACAAGAUCAUACUCAUCGCAAAUGAUGACGAAGAUGAUAAAGCUGUGAUGAAAGCUAGAGCUUUCGAUGAUUGGAAGGAUGGUAAUCCUCGUGGUGCAGGUAACAAGAAACUCACACCUUGUGGCUGAGAUUAUAGACUUAACACUUUCUCCCUCUUUGUUUCUUUACCAAACUCUCUUCUUUCACUUGUGUACCAUCUUUCUACUCUUAAGACAUAUAAUGUUACAGA